UAAGGUAUAAAAUCUGCUCUGUAAACUUACGACGAAGUGGAGAAAUGUGUGCAUAAGCUGUUUAUUUGGUGAUUUCAACGUAUAUGGCAGCCCUCUUUCCAAUAAUAUUCGCUUAUCGCACAGAAUAACACCAACUGAUAUAAUAGUUCAAAUGCAAUGAUAAGUUACCUCUUGAAUUACAUCUCAGAAACUGUGUUGGAAAUGGAGAUGCUGAUCCAUUCCAUAAGAUUAUCGUUUUACAUCGUUGUAUAAAACAUUUUGAUCGCAUGUAAGGAAUUAUUUUUCAUCCCAGAGAUAUAGCCCAACGACUUAACAUUGACGUCCUUGUGAUUUUAUAGAGAUACAGCUAGAACUGAGGAUUUUACAAAGCGAUAUCGGUACCUUCCCAAAAUCGUAGACAAGAUAUGUUGUUUACGUCCAACACGCUUAAAAUUACAUAACUCAAAAUAAUUCGAGCAAAACCGGUCUUUUGUUCAAUGUAGAGACUGGUUCAUAG